UUAAUAUCUCCAGACUAUUUCUUUUCCAGGAGAUAGUUGGAUGGCACUGAGCAGCAAAGAAUACCUCAGAGGAGGCAGUUUAUCCUACUUACUGGAGGAAAUAGCAAAUGGCUAAGAUUUGCCAAAGGACUAAGUGCCUCUUAUUAUGGCAGGAAAAAGUAUUUCAUUCAGGUCCCAGUGUGUGUUGCUCCCCUCCCUGUGUCCAUGUGAUCUCAUUGUUCAGCUCCCACUUAUAAGUGAGAAGAAAGAAAAGAGCAUUCCUCAGUGGAGCUGUGGUGCUUUCAUCUCACUCCCUUCAUGCUACCAAAUGACAGGAGCCAUCUCAGGAGCAGAGGCAGCCUUCUUUUAGGAUCAUUUUGGACCAGUGGUGAAAUUUAUUUGUGGAAUCAAUGCCUGAGUGUCAAGGAUACUUUGGGUUUCUGUAAUUUAAUGAAUCAGUGUCUAUUGGAAUCAGUCUUAGCAAGAACAUAUACAUGAUGACCAUACCGUCAAGGUUUUCUUGAACAGACUCCGUUCCAAGUGUUUUCCACCUGCUUUAUUAAAGUAUAAUUGAGAAAUAAAAAUUGUAUGUAUUUACAAUGUACAAUAUAAUGGUUUGAUAUCUGUAUACAUUUUGAAAUUAUCAAAUCAACCUUAUUAGCAUGACCUUUAUCUCACAUACCUAUUUUUUUGUGAUGAGAA
rnacentral:lncRNA from 1 species